AUCCAACUGAUGAGUCCCAAAUAGGACGAAAGGAGCGUCCUGGAC
rnacentral:hammerhead_ribozyme from 1 species